GACGAACGCUGGCGGCGUGCUUAACACAUGCAAGUCGAACGGAAAGGCCCUGCUUUUGUGGGGUGCUCGAGUGGCGAACGGGUGAGUAACACGUGAGUAACCUGCCCUUGACUUUGGGAUAACUUCAGGAAACUGGGGCUAAUACCGGAUAGGAGCUCCUGCUGCAUGGUGGGGGUUGGAAAGUUUCGGCGGUUGGGGCUGGACUCGCGGCUUAUCAGCUUGUUGGUGGGGUAGUGGCUUACCAAGGCUUUGACGGGUAGCCGGCCUGAGAGGGUGACCGGCCACAUUGGGCCUGAGAUACGGCCCAGUCUCCUACGGGAGGCAGCAGUGGGGAAUAUUGCGCAACGGGGGGAAGCCUGAUGCAGAAGCGCUGCGUGCGGGAUGAUGGCCUUCGGGUUGUAAACCGCUUUCGCCUGUGACGAAGCGUGAGUGACGGUAAUGGGUAAAGAAGCACCGGCUAACUACGUG
rnacentral:rRNA from 1 species